GAUGAACGCUGGCGGCGUGCCUAAUACAUGCCAGUCGAGCGAACAGACGAGGAGCUUGCUCCUCUGACGUUAGCGGCGGACGGGUGAGUAACACGUGGAUAACCUACCUAUAAGACUGGGAUAACUUCGGGAAACCGGAGCUAAUACCGUAUAAUAUAUUGAACCGCAUGGUUCAAUAGUAAAAUACGGUUUUGCUGUCACUUAUAGAUGGAUCCGCGCCGCAUUAGCUAGUUGGUAAGGUAACGGCUUACCAAGGCAACGAUUCGUAGCCGACCUGAGAGGGUGAUCGGCCACACUGGAACUGAGACACGCUCAAGACUCCUACGGGAGGCAGCAGAAGGGAAUCUUCCGCAAUGGGCGAAAGCCUGACGGAGCACCGCCGCGUGAGUGAUGAAGGUCUUCGGAUCGUAAAACUCUGUUAUUAGGGAAGAACAAAUGUGUAAGUAACUAUGCACGUCUUGACGGUACCUAAUCAGAAAGCCACGGCUAACUACGUG
rnacentral:rRNA from 1 species